ACCCUACGCGCUCGUUUAGGUGCUACUAGGUAUUCUUACCUAGAAGUUAAACGGGAAGUUUGGUAAGUCACUGCAACGCAAACGAAUCCAACGCUGCCCCCGCAACGGUGAUCGGCUUAACUUAUUGUUUUAUGCCACUGUGGUGCUCUCUUUGAUAUUUUAAAAGAUUGAGCCUAUGGGAAGGUGCAAUAAGAGGAAUUUAAUUUCCAAGCCGUCAGCCCGGAUACCGGCCUAACUGCUAUAGAUUCU
rnacentral:ncRNA from 2 species